ACAAUGUAGAGUUUGAUCCUGGCUCAGGAUGAACGCUAGCUACAGGCUUAACACAUGCAAGUCGAGGGGCAGCAUGUUGGUUGCUUGCAACCAAUGAUGGCGACCGGCGCACGGGUGAGUAACGCGUAUCCAACCUACCCAAUACUCAGGCAUAACCCGUUGAAAGACGGACUAAUUCCUGAUGGUAUGUAUUUUUCUCAUGAAUUAUACAUUAAAGAAUUUCGGUAUUGGAUGGGGAUGCGUCUGAUUAGUUUGUUGGUGAGGUAACGGCUCACCAAGACAUCGAUCAGUAGGGGUUCUGAGAGGAAGGUCCCCCACAUUGGAACUGAGACACGGUCCAAACUCCUACGGGAGGCAGCAGUGAGGAAUAUUGGUCAAUGGAUGCAAAUCUGAACCAGCCAAGUAGCGUGCAGGAUGACGGCCCUAUGGGUUGUAAACUGCUUUUAUGUGAGAAUAAAGUUAGGUAUGUAUACUUAUUUGCAUGUAUCACAUGAAUAAGGACCGGCUAAUUCCGUGCCAGCAGCCGCGGUAAUACGGAAGGUCCAGGCGUUAUCCGGAUUUAUUGGGUUUAAAGGGUGCGUAGGCCGUUUGAUAAGCGUGCUGUGAAAUAUAGUGGCUCAACCUCUAUCGUGCAGCGCGAACUGUUGAACUUGAGUGCGUAGUAGGUAGGCGGAAUUCGUGGUGUAGCGGUGAAAUGCUUAGAUAUCACGAAG
rnacentral:rRNA from 1 species